GGGGCCGAUCGGUUUCGACGGUGACCUGUUCGCUUCGGGGAAGCGUGCCGAGAACGAUGAGUCCACUCGUGAUGCCCUCAUCAAAAGAAUAAGUGCUAAAUCUAACCGCACUGAGUUCGCUCUCGCUGCCUGAUAGCGUUUACCGCCAGGAUUAACCAGCGAGCAGCCGCUCCGUCCACUCCCUCAUGUCUUCGGAGGGAUGUUGGGCGUCGUUAAGAAGACUUGCCCAGUUUCCGGUGUUCCAGCGGGAAUUGGGGACUUUUUCUGGAGCUAUGCUCGCCAACAAUCGUCUGUGAUCUGUUGGGGGCAGAAAAACUGCCGUAUGGCCUACAGAAUACGCACGUAGAAGACUGAAGGUACGGUCACCGGACCGGGGUUCAAUUCCCCGCGGCUCCACCA
rfam:Bifidobacterium gallicum DSM 20093 = LMG 11596 strain DSM 20093 B_gallicum-1.0.1_Cont0.1, whole genome shotgun sequence.